CAGCCAGCCAGGCUCGCACGACUUACCCAUUCCGCGUCCCACGUGUCGGCCGUCGGCCACGCUGCACGCACGUCGCCCUCUACUCGUCUCUCCUCCCUUCUUUUCCUUCUCCACUUCACCUCCUCCUCCUUUUUCUCGAAGCAGAGCCACCUCGCCUCGCCUCGCCUCGCUCCCGCUGCCCUCAAAUCCCCGAUCUCCCCGACCCGCAUCCACAGUUCCACACCCACCUCGUGCUCGUCGCACCGCCACCCUCUCGAGCCUCGCCGCCGCGUGAUUCGCCGGCCGCGACGGCCACCAAGAUCUCCGCCGACCGCCGCCGUCACCCGACAAGCCCAGGUCAUAUUCCAGAUGGGGAAAGAUAAACAAUGCGAAACUGUGGACGCGGUCGGGAUGGUGCCAAUGGAGGAAGAGAAGAAGUCCAAGGAGGAGAUACAUCUCAAGAUUAAGAGCAAGGACAAGUCUUCAGGUGAUGAGGAUGAGAAGAAGGAGAUUGAGAUAGAAGUCAAAGCCAAGAUUGUGGACAAGGAAGAGGUGAAGCUUGAUUCAGAUGAUGGCGCAAAGUCCGCGGUAAAAAGUAAGGACUCAAAGAAAGACAAGGAAAAUAAAAAAUCAGACAAGAAGGACGAUGAACAUGACGAUGAGGAUGAAGAGGGAAAGAAGAAAGAAAAGGAGAUGAAAGAAAAGAAGAAAGACAAGAGUGAUAAGAAGGAAGAAGGCAAGAAGAAAAAGGAUGGUGAUGAGGAGGAAGGUAAGAAGAAAGACAAGGAUGGCGAUGAGAAAGAAGGCAAGAAAGAGAAGAAGAAAGACAAGGACGGUGAUGAGGAGGAAGAAGGUAAGAAGAAAGAGAAGAAGAAGAAAGACAAGGGUGACAAGGAGAAGACGAAUGAUCCCGCGAAGCUUAAGGCGAAACUGGAGAAGAUUGACACCAAGAUACAAGACCUUCAAGCUAAGAAGGAAGACAUCCUGAGGCAGCUGAAGGAGCAGCUGAAAGAGGAGCUGGAAGGAGGCAAGUCCAAGAAUGCCAUUGAAGAGAAGCCUGCACAGACAUUGGAAAAGGGCAUCGAGCACAACAAGCCCAUUGAGGAGAAGCCCGCUGAGACAGUGGAAGGGAGCAGGGAGUGCAAGAACAAUGAAAAAGAAGAAACUCAUGUUGCUGCAGCCUGA
rnacentral:lncRNA from 1 species